rnacentral:rRNA from 1 species
UACGGGGGGGGCAAGCGUUGUUCGGAAUUACUGGGCGUAAAGGGCUCGUAGGCGGCCAACUAAGUCAUACGUGAAAUCCCUCGGCUUAACCGGGGAACUGCGUCUGAUACUGGAUGGCUUGAGUUCGGGAGAGGGAUGCGGAAUUCCAGGUGUAGCGGUGAAAUGCGUAGAUAUCUGGAGGAACACCGGUGGCGAAGGCGGCUCACUGGACCGGUAUUGACGCUGAGGUGCGAAAGCGUGGGGAGCAAACAGG